AUUGACUGGGUGGGGUGUUUCUGUGAUUAGUCCUGACUCUGUAGGGUGCGAGCAACAUAGUACACGUAGCUUUCUGAGCGCCUAGUGGGGGUCGGCUGAUAACCCGCAACUUAUUUCGUCCUCACAGACGUCUCUUCUCCUGGAUUCCCAGAUACUACACGCCAAGCCCUUCCCGUCAUCGGGCUGUUGCACUUGCUGUUCAUUUUGCCUUGGAUGCUCUUCCCUCAGCUGUCUCAUUCUCGCGUCUGAACUCAAAUGUCACCUCAGGCCUUCUGCAGUUAUCCUCUCACCAUCCUAUGCCCUUUGAAGCAUGAAGCAUUAGUCUGUAAUUAUCAUGCCUGCUCACUUACUGUCUUCCACACUAGAAUGUAAGCUCCAUGAGACUUUGCCAGUUAUCUUCAGUACAUGGUAGGUGCCCAAUAAGCAUGUGAUGACUAAAUACUAAAUAAAGAACUCUUUGGUAAAAAUGUAAUCCAUUUUA